UAUAAACAUAAAGUAUGUGUGUAUUAUAGCUUAAUCUAUGGUUCACAUUACCAACCAAAACAUCGUUUUCAGUUUUGCAACGUACACAAUAUAUACAGUAGUAUGUGGACUCCCCUUCAAAUUAGUGGAUUCGACUUUUUCAGGCACACUAGGCAAUCUCUAGACAAACAUUGGCAGUAGAAUGGCCUUGCUGAAGAGCUCAGGGACUUUCAAUGUGCCACUGUCUUAGGAUGCCACCUUUCCAACAAGUCAGUUCGUCAAAUUACUGCCCUGAUAGAGCUGCCCCUGUCAACUGUAAGUGCUGUUAUUUUGAAGUGGAAACAACUAAGAGCAGCAAUGGCUAAGCAGUGAAGAUCACAGAACUGGACUGCAGAGUGCUAAAGUGCGUAGCACGUAAAAAUCGUCUAUCCUCAGUUGCAACACUCACAAUAUAGUUCCAAACUGCCUCUGAAAACAACUUCAGCACAAUAACUGUUCAUCGGGAGCUUCAUGAAAUGGGAUUCCAUAGCCGAGCAGCCUCACACAAGCCUACAAUCACCAUGCACAAUGCCAAGCGUCGGCACCAUUGGACUCUGGAGCAGUGGAAACGCAUUCUCUGGAGUAAUGAAUCACGCUUCACCAUCUGGCAGUCCGACGGACAAAUCUGGGUUUGGCGGAUGCCAGGAGAUGCAUAGUGCCAACUGUAAAGUUGGCAAGAAUAAUGGUCUGGGGCUGUUUUUCAUGUUUCGGCCUAGGCCCCUUAGUUCCAGUGAAGUGAAAUCUUAACGCUACAGCAUGACAUUCUAUCUAAUUCUGGCAACAGUUUGGGGAAGGCCCUUUCCUGUUUCAGCAUGACAAUGCCCCCAUGCAUAAAGCGAGGUCCAUACAGAAAUGGUUUGUCGAGAUCAUUGUGGAAGAACUUGACUGGCCUGCACAGAGCCCUGACCUCAACCCCAACAAACACCAUUGGGAUGAAUUGGAACGCCAACUGCGAGCCAGGCCUAAUCGCCCAACAUUAGUGCCCAACCUCACUAAUGCUCUUGUGGCUGAAUGGAAGCAAGUUCCUGCAGCAAUGUUCCAGCAUCUAGUGGAAAGCCUUCCCAGAACAGUGGAGGCAGUUUUAGCAGCAACGAACCAUUUCCAUAUUAAUUCCCAUGAUUUUGGAAUGAAAUGUUCGAUGAGCAGGUGUCCACAUACUUUUGGUAUUGUAGUGUUGUCACGAAUAUUACCGAAGGUGACUCCCCUUCUUGUUCGGGUGGCGCUCGGCGGUCGUCGUCGCCGGUCUACGAGCUAUCGCCGAUCCGCUGUUCUGUGUUCGUUUAGUUCUGUCUAAUUGGUAGCACCUGUUUCUUGUUUGGUUGUUAGGAUAGGGUUAUAUAUAGUCUGUUCAGCCCGCUUCUGUUUCGUGCGGGCUUGUUUACCUGUUUUCUUGUUUGAGUGUAUUUUUUGUUGGCAUUUGGGUUUCACGCUGUCCGUUUAUAUUUCUGUUCAUUUGUGUUUCCACUUUUGUUCAUGUUAUGUUUCCGGGACAUUAAAGCAUGUUGUUUUUCCCACAUCUUUUGCUCUCUGCGCCUGACUCCACACCUCUUCACUCAUUUACUCGUAACAAGUGUACAUUCAUUCAUUGUAGUAUACAUUGCAGUGUACAUCCAGUAAACAGUACAUUUGGCACAUAACUUAGUCAAUGGCUGAAUUUUAUUGACUUGCCGCAUUUUCUGAGUUAUGGGUGGAGUGUCUCUGAAAGUGAUGUGUCAACAGAAGUGGGCGGAUCAACCGAAGUGGGCAUAUUUCAUGCGAAUAAGCUAAUUGGGCAGAUUUGUUAUGCAGAUUUGUUAUUCAGUGAGUCUUCUUCAUGGUCUUGGUUAGCAGAGAUGAUGAUAGGGAGAGAUUGCGAACAUCAGGUCUCCCCAGUAUGAAAAUGUGAUGCAAGGGAUUUUUACCAUCGACAGCCAUCAACAUCAUCAAGCCCUGCACAACUAACGUGCUGUUUCCUAUUUAAUAACAGUUAUUUACACAUAUUAUAUUUUGCACAACUAACGUGCUGUUUCCUAUUUAACAACAGCAGAUAAUAAGUAAUGCUCAACUGGACCACAGGGUGGGAUGAUUUAUUUGGACAAAACACAACGCAAGUAGAGUACGACUAACAUCUGUUACAUUUGUAUGCAUGUGUCUGUGCCGAUGUUGCUUCAAAGUCCCCACUGUACCAUAAGGUGUCUUUUUUUCCUGUUUGUAAAUCAAAUUUUACUGCUUGGAUGAGUUACUUGAUUCCGUUUAGUCAUGACUCUGUCUAUGUAGUACUGUGCGCCUCCCAUAGUCUGUUCUAGACUUGGGGGCUGUGUAGAGAGACCUCUGGUGGCAUCAAAUAAAAUGUUAUUGGUCACAUACACAUGGUAAGCAGAUGUUAUUGUGAGUGUAGCGAAAUGCUUGUGCUUCUAGCUCUGACAGUGCAGCAAUAUCUAACAAGUAAUAUCUAACAAAUACCUAAUACACACAUCUAAGUAAGGAAUGGAAUAAGAAUAUAUAACUAUAUGGAUGAGCAAUAUCAGAGCAGCAUAGGCUAAGAUGCAAUAGAUAGUAUAUAAUACAGUAUAUACAUAUGAGAUGAGUAAUGCAAGAUAUGUAAACAUUUUUAAAGUGACUAGUGUUCCAUUUAUUAAAGUGGCCAGUGCUUACAAGUCUGUAUGUAGGCAGCAGCCUCACUGGAAGUCUGGUAAGCACAGACCACAGUCAGGAUGGCCACGUUUGCUGAUAAUUAUGGAAAUUAUGGUUGAAAUGACUAAUUAUGUAUACAUUCCAAUCAGAACUGACUAGUCCAAAUGCUAUAAUGUACUGUACAUGUGAAUUUUCUCUCUUGCUCCCUUUCCCAAUUGUAUAUAAUGUAGUCAGGAGUUUAGUAACAAUGAAGGUCUGUUCCUUAGUUCAUUCAGUUGUACAAAUCUCCAGGUGGUGGGAACGGGCCAUUUCCAGAUUGUCGAGAAUGUUGAUUUAUACUGACUGGCCUUGACUUCGUGCUGAUAACGCGAAGGCUCAAGAGCUAGGGGGCCCCUCUGCUUGUGAAAUAGAACGUUUGGAAAACGCUGACGUCAUUUUCAGUUUAUAACCUGUGGAAAUGUGUGUAUGCAUUUAGUACUCUCUGGAAUUAAACGCUCUUACCUGA